GGAGGAGUGCCGGAGCGGCCUAUCGGAACCGCCUUGAAAGCGGUCGUGGGGAGACCCACCGGGGGUUCAAAUCCCUCCUCCUCUGCCA
rnacentral:tRNA from 2 species